rnacentral:rRNA from 1 species
CACUCCUACGGGAGGCAGCAGUGGGGAAUUUUGGACAAUGGGCGAAAGCCUGAUCCAGCCAUGCCGCGUGCAGGAUGAAGGCCUUCGGGUUGUAAACUGCUUUUGUACGGAACGAAACGGCCUUUUCUAAUAAAGAGGGCUAAUGACGGUACCGUAAGAAUAAGCACCGGCUAACUACGUGCCAGCAGCCGCGGUAAUACGUAGGGUGCAAGCGUUAAUCGGAAUUACUGGGCGUAAAGCGUGCGCAGGCGGUUAUGUAAGACAGUUGUGAAAUCCCCGGGCUCAACCUGGGAACUGCAUCUGUGACUGCAUAGCUAGAGUACGGUAGAGGGGGAUGGAAUUCCGCGUGUAGCAGUGAAAUGCGUAGAUAUGCGGAGGAACACCGAUGGCGAAGGCAAUCCCCUGGACCUGUACUGACGCUCAUGCACGAAAGCGUGGGGAGCAAACAGGAGUAGAUACCCUUGUAGUCCCAUGAU